UACGUAGGUGGCAAGCGUUGUCCGGAAUUAUUGGGCGUAAAGCGCGCGCAGGCGGUCCUUUAAGUCUGAUGUGAAAGCCCACGGCUCAACCGUGGAGGGUCAUUGGAAACUGGGGGACUUGAGUGCAGGAGAGAAGAGUGGAAUUCCACGUGUAGCGGUGAAAUGCGCAGAUAUCAGGAAGAACACCUAUGGCGAAGGCAGCUCUCUGGGACGGUACUGACGCUGAGACGCGAAAGCGUGGGGAGCGAACAGG
rnacentral:rRNA from 1 species